rnacentral:lncRNA from 1 species
GCAGGUAAUAAAUGUCCACGGGUAUCGAAUUUGACGAGUAUUUUUGCCAUCCAUACAUCGUUUUAUUACUUGAUUGCAAUAUUGUAUACUUGCGGGAUUUUAAAUUGUCAAGUUUUUUGUGUUGUCAUUGGGGACUAUAGUAUUUAAUUAGAUUUAAUUAAUUCUAGCUUUAAUUUGAAUUUUCCUUUCUCUUUCAGGAUUUUGUAUGCAAAGUUCGAAGCCCGAAGAUUUUGAUCAAUUUGACCUGGAGAUCGAACCAACAUUCUGCUCCCGUUUGGCCUCACUAAAUUUCAUUUCAUUUUUCUUUCUCCUAUUUUUAACCAUACAAUUUUCUAUAAAAUAAUAUUAUACGUAAAUCGAAAACUUUUCAAUAUUUUUCAACCACUUAUUUUUCAAAAAAAAAAAAAAACUAUUUCACUCAUUUUCAUUUCAAAAAAUGGGGGCCAAAUGAGGGCUCUGGUUUUGAAGAAGAGAACAGUUGCAAGCACAACAAAAACAUAAAGAGGAACACAUGGUAGAGGAAAAUCCGAAUCAAAUAACCAUCUGGGCUAAUCUGGGAGAAGCACAAUCAAAUGUGGUUGUAUGUAAUGAAAUUGCAAGAAUAAUGGGGGAGUACGCGGUUCCUCCAGUUGUGGAGAGCCAAUCUAGCAUCAUGUAUCCGGCGUUUGGUCAGGCUAACUUUCAGUUGAGGAUGGAUGUCAUCAACGUGUUCCAAAAUGCGUUAUAAUAUUUGGGAGACCAAUUGAAAUCCCAAUGCUCAUAUCUCAAGGCAUCUGGACAUGUGUGCGACAAUUGAGUGUCCACGAGUAUCAAGCGACGCAAUUCGGAUUAGGCUUUUCCCAUACACAUUAAGAAACUCAAUUAUGGAGUGGUUGGACACAUUCUCAAGUCAUAGCAGUACUAGUUCGUACAUUCUGAGCAAGAAGUUCAUGAAUAAAUACUUUCCUUCAAAAAAGAUUGCCUACCUAAGAGACGGAAUCAUGCUUUCACUCAAUUGGAUUCAAAAUGCUAUUACGAAGCAUGGGAAAGGUAUGAGGGGCUACUCCGCGAAUGUCCACAGCAUGGAUUACAGAAUGGCUCCGUCCGCUAUAUUUCUACAUUGCACUAAAUUCUACAAGCAAGGCUAAUGCUGACUCUGCAUGUGAUAGAUCUAUUACAAAGUAGACAGUGAACCAAGCCUAUCAGAUUAUGGAGGAUUUGACAUUUAACAAUGCACUGUAAAAUGGCCAUGUCCCAUUAAAAUUUAAGUCCAACACUCUUGGGCAAAUAAAUGUACCUCAAUCCAAGGAGAACAAAGAAAGCAAGAGAGAGCAACAUUAUAGUCACCCUCCUCCAAUCUUGAGCAAAAUUUUUCUGUAAUAAGAGUAGGUAGCGGAAUCCAUUCAGCCUCUACCAAGUGCUUCCAUGUUGUUUCCAGCAGUUUCGUCUAGAAAAACCAAAAUAUUAUGUGCUAAGAGAAUUUAAUAGUAACUAACAUCAUAU